AGUGAACGCUGGCGGUAGGCCUAACACAUGCAAGUCGAACGGCAGCACAGUAAGAGCUUGCUCUUACGGGUGGCGAGUGGCGGACGGGUGAGGAAUACAUCGGAAUCUACUUUUUCGUGGGGGAUAACGUAGGGAAACUUACGCUAAUACCGCAUACGACCUACGGGUGAAAGCAGGGGAUCUUCGGACCUUGCGCGAUUGAUUGAGCCGAUGUCGGAUUAGCUAGUUGGCGGGGUAAAGGCCCACCAAGGCGACGAUCCGUAGCUGGUCUGAGAGGAUGAUCAGCCACACUGGAACUGAGACACGGUCCAGACUCCUACGGGAGGCAGCAGUGGGGAAUAUUGGACAAUGGGCGCAAGCCUGAUCCAGCCAUACCGCGUGGGUGAAGAAGGCCUUCGGGCUUUAAAGCCCAUUUGUUGGGAAAGAAAAGCAGCAGGUUAAUACCCCGCUGUUCUGACGGUACCCAAAGAAUAAGCACCGGCUAACUUCGUG
rnacentral:rRNA from 1 species